AGAACCAUAGCUUAAUAGGUAAAGCACGCUACUCAUAAUGGCUGUAUUAGAGUUCGAUCCUCUAUAGUUCUA
rnacentral:tRNA from 1 species